rnacentral:tRNA from 2 species
GAAUAUGAAGUGAUUUAUUACACUUAGUUUCGACCUAACCUUAGAUGAUUUUCAUCCUUAUUCU